rnacentral:rRNA from 1 species
GGCCAGACUCCUACGGGAGGCAGCAGUGGGGAAUAUUGCACAAUGGGGGGAACCCUGAUGCAGCGACGCCGCGUGGGUGAAGGAGCACCUCGGUGCGUAAAGCCCUAUCGGCAGGGAAGAAGCAAGACGGUACCUGACUAAGAAGCCCCGGCUAACUACGUGCCAGCAGCCGCGGUAAUACGUAGGGGGCGAGCGUUAUCCGGAUUCACUGGGUGUAAAGGGAGCGUAGACGGCCAUGCAAGCCAGGGGUGAAAGCCCGGGGCCCAACCCCGGGACUGCCCUUGGAACUGCAUGGCUGGAGUGCGGGAGGGGCAGGCGGAAUUCCUGGUGUAGCGGUGAAAUGCGUAGAUAUCAGGAGGAACACCGGCGGCGAAGGCGGCCUGCUGGACCGUAACUGACGUUGAGGCUCGAAAGCGUGGGGAGCAAACAGGAUUAGAUACCCGAGUA